rnacentral:lncRNA from 1 species
AUGAGAGACACCGAGAAAGAGAGAGAGAGAGAGCAGCAGAGACACAGGCAGAGGGCGAGACAGGCUCGAUGCAGGGAGCCCAAUGUGGGACUUGAUCCCUGGUCUACAGGAUCACACCCUAAACCGCUGAGCCACCCCGGGCUGCCAGGCUCAAGAUUUUUGAGCUACAAGAGUGCCCAGGGCUUUGUGUCUUAUCAUGUCCUUUGCACCCCUGUGAGAAUGAAUAUAUUAAUUUUUUCUUAUAGAUGCACAUUUUAUGCAGGAAGAAUAAUAAAGAGGGAUGAAGACAGGAAAAUGGCAGAUAUUUUUAAACACGGAGAGUGAUGCAUAACGAUCUGUAAGGGUCUUGGACAAGAAAGAGGGAGGCUAUUCAUGGAGGACCUUUUGGAGCUCCAAGAAAAUCUUUGCAUACACACACAGGCAAACACACACAUACACAUACACACAUGAUCUUUGGGGUCAUUUUAAUAUACUCUUUGGAUCAUGUUUACCUAUUUUUAAUAAAAAUUAACUUUUAAAAUUUGUAUUGUAAAUA